rnacentral:rRNA from 1 species
GACGAACGCUGGCGGCGUGCUUAACACAUGCAAGUCGAACGGAAAGGCCCUGCUUUUGUGGGGUGCUCGAGUGGCGAACGGGUGGGUAACACGUGAGUAACCUGCCCUUGACUUUGGGAUAACUUCAGGAAACUGGGGCUAAUACCGGAUCGUAGCUCCGGCUGCAUGGUGGGGGUUGGAUAGUUUCGGCGGUUGGAGAUGGACGCGCGGGUUAUCAGCUUGUUUGUGGGGUAGUGGCUUACCAAGGCGUAGACGGGUAGCCGACAUGGGAGGGGGAACAGCGACAUGGGGACUGAGAUACGCAGCAGACUGCUACGGGGGGCAGCAGGGGGGAGUAUUGCACAAUGGGCGGAAGCCUAAGGCAGAAACGCUGCGUGCGGGAUGACGGCCUUCGGGUUGUAAACCGCUUUCGCCUGUGACGAAGCGUGAGUGACGGUAAUGGGUAAAGAAGCACCGGCUAACUACGUG